AAUAGGUUGGGACUGGCAGUACCCUGGGACUGGCAGGCUCUUCCUUGGAACUCUCAGUCAUUCCUCUAAAGACCAUGAUUUUGAGACCCUGGGGCCUUGCUAUACACUCAGACUGCCACACAGUGAAGGAGAAUAUAUAGCAAAUGCAAAGUGAGAAAUCCUUUCUCUUUACAUGCUGGACUCAGGUGUGGCUGUGCUGGAUCAACAGCAGAACUCAGAACUCCCUACCAGGUGUGGCACAGAGCUGCUCACGACAUGGUAAGGAGGAAGGAUAGUUUAACUGAGACUUCAUUUUCCCUCUAUUAUUUGUUCUCUGUGUUGCUGUACUGCUGCAGUCACACUGAGUGCUAUUCUGCCAGAUACCAUUUGGGCAGGAAUUCCGAGUUCUAGAUCUCUGGAAAUCCCAGCAUGAGCUAACUAAAAUGUUUCAGUUUUGAAAACAAUUAUGGUUCGAGCCCAUUUGAGUUCCCAGGAAUCUCUCAAGUGAGCACUGGAGCAAAUGCUCAGGACAGGCUCAAAGAGCACUU